UACGGGGGGAGCAAGCGUUGUUCGGAUUUACUGGGCGUAAAGCGCGUGUAGGCGGUCCGGUAAGUCCGCUGUGAAAGUCGGGGGGCUCAACCCUCGGAUGCCGGUGGAUACUGUCGGGCUUGAGUACGGAAGAGGCGAGUGGAAUUCCUGGUGUAGCGGUGAAGUGCGUAGAGAUGUGGAGGAACACCAGUGGCGAAGGCGACUCUUUGGUCGUGUAACUGACGCUGAGGCGCGAAAAGCGUGGGGAGCAAACAGG
rnacentral:rRNA from 1 species